rnacentral:rRNA from 1 species
AGAUUGAACGCUGGCGGCGUGCCUAACACAUGCAAGUCGAGCGGUAACAGGUGUAGCAAUACAUGCUGACGAGCGGCGAACGGGUGAGUAAUGCUUUGGAAUCUUCCCAGUAGUGGGGAAUAACCAGUCGAAAGAUUGGCUAAUACCGCAUACGUCUGUAAAGGGAAAGCGGGGGCUCGUAAGACCUCGCGCUAUUGGAUGAGCCAAAGUCGGAUUAGCUAGUUGGUGGGGUAAUGGCCUACCAAGGCGACAAUCCGUAGCUGGUCUGAGAGGACGACCAGCCACACCGGAACUGAGACACGGUCCGGACUCCUACGGGAGGCAGCAGUGGGGAAUAUUGGACAAUGGGGGAAACCCUGAUCCAGCGACGCCGCGUGUGUGAAGAGGCCUGCGGGUUGUAAAGCACUUUUAGUGGGACAAAAGCUACGGACUAAUAUUCUGUGGUCUUGAUUUAACCAAAGAAAAGCACCGGCUAACUCUGUGCCAGCAGCCGCGGUAA